CCGGCCCGCCCGGGGGAACCGACGGACCCGCCUGGGCUGCCCCGCACCGGCCCCUGGGCGGGAGCUGCGCCGCGGGAGCUGCCCCGGCCCCUCCGCCCCACGGCUGCACCGCUCCGUGUGCGCUGCAGGCGGUGUGUCCGAACAGGCUGCUCUCCCGCACCACAGCGGCUGCGGUGAUACGAUUUCCUAGCGGGGACGCUGUUGGAAGACGACGACUUGUAAACCAAAAAUAAGACUCUCUGCAUCGCCACAGCAGCUGCUGCGGUGUGCUGAUCCCGCAGCAUCCCCACGGGAGAUGUAAGGUAGUUCAUUUUGUUACUAACACUUUGGCCAUUGCGCUCCUGUGUGCCCUUUUCCCAUGGACACUUCCUCUCGCACUCGGAAAUACCAUUUAAGAGAAAGACGGUGGUCCUAAAUCAUCAUUUUUAUAACUAAUGACAGGGCAGUGUCUUUGGUGGGACCCUCCAAAUAAAAAGUCUCCCCCUAUGAUGGGGAAUCCUCACAGAUUUAUGCUCCAGGCAGCAGACAGAGAUUGGAUUGCAGCUCUGUCCCUGCUGCCCUGCAAUAGCAGGAUUUCCCAAAAAACUGAGUCAGGUGUCUCAGUGAAUAACCCCCCUUCGAUUGCUCCCUGCGCUGGUGGGAGCAAGUGAAGGGCUCUCAGUGCACUCAGCUCCUCUCCAGUCCCAACUCCACCUGUUCAUACCCUGUACAACCCUCUGGAGUCACCACACUCAACUGCUCUGUUACCUUCUCUUUCCUCUCAAUGAAGGUCAUACUUUUAUUCAGGAUAGUUUUUCCUGAUUGUCCUUUAGGAGCAGGUUUGUGAUGAAUCAAAAUAAACCACUGUUAAAAUGCAUUAAAUACAGGUUGCACCAGUUUAAUUAGGAUAAGUUUAAAUGUCUCUUGAAACUAAACCAGUGCAUAUUUCUUCAAUAAAGUGGCCAGUAAAAUACUGAAAGCCCAAAGGUUUGGUCAGGAUGUAUGAGCAGGAGAUGGUGCAGUAAGUGAAUGGGAAAGCACAGCAGUGGUUAUGAAAGGCAGCAUUAAAUGUACACAAGAGCUCUAUACAUCAAAAAUUUGCUUAGCAAAUGAGUAUUGCUUUUGUGGAGUGCUACAGUUGAAUUAAAUUUUGAUUUUUAACAAAUGUUUCUAGCUGGAAAUUUAAUUAAAACAUAGUAGAUGCUGUGACUCAAUUUGCUAUUGCACAAAUAGAAAGAAUAAUUUGGGUCGGGAAAAAUA